rnacentral:rRNA from 1 species
AUGAUAGGCCUAAGUUGGAACUACCGAGGAAUCGGGGGCGCCUCGACAGUUCGCGAUCUCACUGCCCUCGUCCAAAGUCAUCGUCCGCAGUUUGUUUUUCUUUGUGAAACUAGGCAGAAAGCAGUUAAAGUUCGUCGUCUUCGCCGUCGUUUGGGUCUUCGAGGUUUCAGUGGAGUUGACAGUAAUGGUCAAAGUGGUGGACUAGCUCUAUUCUGGAAUGACCAAUUAUCAGUUGAGAUUAAAGACCAG